rnacentral:rRNA from 1 species
GACGAACGCUGGCGGCGUGCUUAACACAUGCAAGUCGAACGGAAAGGCCCUGCUUUUGUGGUGUGCUCGAGUGGCGAACGGGUGAGUAACACGUGAGUAACCUGCCCUUGACUUUGGGAUAACUUCGGGAAACUGUGGCUAAUACCGGAUAGGAGCUCCUGCUGCAUGGUGGGGGUUGGAAAUUUUGGGCGGGUGGGGAUGGACGCGCGGUAUAUCAGCUUGUGGGUGGGGUAGUGGCUUAACAAGGCUUUGGCGGGUAGCCGGCCUGAGAGGGUGACCGGCCACAUUGGGACUGAGAUACGGCCCAGACUCAUACGGGAGGCAGCAGUGGGGAAUAGUGCACAAUGGGCGGAAGUCUGAUGCAGACACGCCGCGUGCGGGAUGACGGCCUUCGGGUUGUAAACCGCUUUCGCCUGUGACGAAGCGUGAGUGACGGUAAUGGGUAAAGAAGCACCGGCUAACUACGUG